rnacentral:rRNA from 1 species
GAUGAACGCUAGCGGGAUGCCUAACACAUGCAAGCCGAGGGGUAUGAUUCUUUCUGGUAUCGCAGACCGGCGCACGGGUUCGUAACGCGUAUUUAACUUACCCCAUUCACUGGGAUAGCCCUUCUAAAGGAGGAUUAAUACCUGAUAACACUAAUUUGUGCAUCCACUUUGGUUGAAAGAUUUAUCGGAAUGUUAAAGACAUGCGUCAGAUUAGCUAGUUGGAUAGGUAACUGCUCACCAAGGCGAUGAUCUGUAGCCGGCCUUAGAGGGUGACCCCCCACACUGGUAGUGGGACACGGACCAGACUACUAAGGCAGGCCGCAGUGAGGAACAUUGGGCAGUAGGUGAGAGUAUGAUACAGCCAGCGAGAGUGUAGGACGACGGUGCUAUGGGUUGUAAGAAGGUUUUGUAUGGGAAUAACCCUCCUUCCGAGUAGGGUGUUGAAGGUACCAGAAGAAUAAGCACCGGCUAACUCCGUG